rnacentral:rRNA from 1 species
UUUAGUGGCGGACUGGUGAGUAACACGUAAGCAACCUGCCUAUUAGAGGGGAAUAACAGCGAGAAAUCGUUGCUAAUACCGCAUAUGCCCGACUAUCCACAUGGAUUGUCGGGGAAAGGAGUAAUCCGCUAAUAGAUGGGCUUGCGUCUGAUUAGAUAGUUGGUGGGGUAACGGCCUACCAAGUCGACGAUCAGUAGCCGGACUGAGAGGUUCAACGGCCACAUUGGGACUGAGAUACGGCCCAGACUCCUACGGGAGGCAGCAGUCGGGAAUAUUGCGCAAUGGAGGAAACUCUGACGCAGUGACGCCGCGUAUAGGAAGAAGGUUUUCGGAUUGUAAACUAUUGUCUGCAGGGAAGAAAAAAGACUGUACCUGCAAAGAAAGCUCCGGCUAACUACGUGCCAGCAGCCGCGGUAAUACGUAGGGAGCAAGCGUUAUCCGGAUUUAUUGGGUGUAAAGGGUGCGUAGACGGGAAAUUAAGUUAGUUGUGAAAUCCCUCGGCUCAACUGAGGAACUGCAACUAAAACUGAUUUUCUUGAGUGCAGGAGAGGAAAGUGGAAUUCCUAGUGUAGCGGUGAAAUGCGUAGAUAUUAGGAGGAACACCAGUGGCGAAGGCGACUUUCUGGACUGUAACUGACGUUGAGGCACGAAAGUGUGGGGAGCAAACAGGAUUAGAUACCCUGGUAGUCCACACUGUAAACGAUGGAUACUAGGUGUAGGAGGUAUUAAGCCUUCUGUGCCCGUCGCAAACGCAAUAAGUAUCCCACCUGGGGAGUACGACCGCAAGGUUGAAACUCAAAGGAAUUGACGGGGGCCCGCACAAGCAGUGGAGUAUGUGGUUUAAUUCGAAGCAACGCGAAGAACCUUACCAGGGCUUGACAUAUACAGGAAUAACUAAGAGAUUAGUUAGUUCUUCGGAACUUGUAUACAGGUGGUGCAUGGUUGUCGUCAGCUCGUGUCGUGAGAUGUUGGGUUAAGUCCCGCAACGAGCGCAACCCCUGUUUCUAGUUGCCAGCACGUAAAGGUGGGAACUCUAGAGAGACUGCCGUUGAUAAAACGGAGGAAGGUGGGGACGACGUCAAAUCAUCAUGCCCUUUAUGUCCUGGGCUACACACGUACUACAAUGGCUAUCACAGAGGGAAGCGAAAGAGUGAUCUGAAGCGAAACUCAAAAAAGUAGUCUCAGUUCGGAUUGUAGGCUGAAAUUCGCCUACAUGAAGCCGGAAUUGCUAGUAAUGGCAGGUCAGCAUACUGCCGUGAAUACGUUCCCGGGCCUUGUACACACCGCCCGUCACACCAUGAGAGUUGGGAAUACCCGAAGCCUGUGAGCUAACUGUAAAGAGGCAGCAGUCGAAGGUAGAAUCAAUGAUUGGGGUGGAGUCGUAACAAGGUAACC